CGCCACCGCACCGCGAGGCCCCGGAGCGGCGGGCCCGGCUCCGCUGUGCGCCGGCAGAUCACCCAGAAGACACAAUGAGCGUUAAAGCUUUCAAGCUCGUUUCUGCUGUUGAGCGGGAGAUGUUAAUGGGAGACAAAAAUUACAUCAACAUCGAGUGCAUUGAGUGUUGUGGGAAGAACCUCUAUAUUGGAACCAAUGACUGCUUUAUCUAUCACUUCCUGUUGGAUGAAAAGGUAUCCACAGCUGGAAAAAUAACUUUUGCUGCCACCAAGCAACUACACAAAUACCUGGGUUUGAAGAAGCCUGUGAGCGAGUUGAAAGCAGCCUCUGCCCUCACAAGACUGCUUGUGCUCUGUGACAACACAAUAACACUAGUGAACAUGAUCAACUUGGAGCCUGUCCCCACUGGUGCUAGGAUCAAAGGAGCUGUGACAUUCACCCUGAAUGAAAACCCUGUGAGUGGGGAUCCUUUCUGCGUUGAAGUUUGCAUUAUUUCGGUCAAGCGCCGGACCAUUCAAAUGUUCAUGGUGUUUGAAGACAGAGUCCAGAUAGUGAAGGAGGUGUUUACUCCAGAACAACCCUGUGCUGUGGCUGUAGAUGGUUACUACUUAUGCCUUGCCCUUACUACACAGUAUAUAAUUUUGAAUUACAAUACUGGCGUCUCCCAGGACCUAUUUCCUUAUUGCAGUGAUGAGAAACGGCCAAUUGUGAAAAGAAUAGGCAGACAAGAGUUUCUGUUGGCUGGCCCUGGAGGCCUAGGCAUGUUUGCUACUGUAGAUGGGAUUUCACAGCGCGCCCCAGUGCACUGGUCAGAGAACGUGAUUGGGGCAGCUCUGUGCUUUCCUUACGUGGUUGCUCUCGAUGAUGAGUUCAUUACGGUGCACAGCAUGCUGGACCAGCAGCAAAAGCAAACCCUGCCCUUUAAAGAAGGUCACAUUCUACAGGACUUUGAAGGAAAGGUGAUUGUUGCUACUAACAAGGGUGUAUAUAUCUUGGUGCCACUACCUUUGGAAAAACAGAUUCAGGAUCUUUUAGCUAGCCACAGGGUGGAAGAAGCCCUUGUUCUAGCCAAAGGAGCUCGAAGGAAUAUUCCAAAAGAGAAAUUUCAGGUAAUGUACAAAAGAAUCCUGCAGCAAGCAGGUUUUAUACAGUUUGCACAGCUUCAGUUCCUUGAAGCAAAAGAACUCUUCAGAAGCGGCCAGCUUGAUGUCCGGGAGCUGAUCUCUCUGUACCCCUUCCUGUUGCCUACUUCCUCUUCAUUUAUCCGGUCUCAUCCCCCUCUGCACGAGUACGCCGACCUGAACCAGCUGACCCAAGGGGACCAGGAGAAGAUGACAAAAUGCAAACGAUUCCUCAUGAGUUACUUGAAUGAAGUCCGCAGCACUGAGGUUGCAAAUGGCUACAAGGAGGAUAUUGACACUGCUUUACUCAAACUGUAUGCAGAGGCAAAUCAUGAGAGCCUGCUGGAUCUCCUAGUUUCAGAGAACUUCUGUCUUUUAACAGAUAGUGCUGCCUGGCUGGAAAAACACAAAAAGUAUUUUGCACUUGGUCUCCUGUAUCACUACAAUGGUCAGGAUGCUGCAGCACUUCAGUUAUGGGUGAAAAUAGUUGAUGGAGACAUUCAAGAUUCUACACGUUCAGAUCUCUAUGACUACAUAGUAGACUUCCUUACAUUCUGCUCAGACCAAGAGCUAGUGUGGAAGUACUCUGAAUGGAUUUUACAAAAAAAUGAAGAGGUUGGUGUACAGAUUUUCACUAAAAGGCCCUUGGAAGAACAGGAGAAAAACAACAUUAAUCCAGAUGAUAUCAUUAGUUGCCUUAACAAAUAUCCUAAAGCACGUGUCAAAUAUCUAGAACAUCUAGUACUGGAAAGAAAAAUACAGAAAGAGAAGUACCAUACUCAUCUAGCUGUCUUGUACUUGGAGGCAAUACUUCAGCUAAAAUCUGUGACCACAGAUAAUUGUACAGAAACAACUGAGCUGCUGUUGAAACUUCGCAGUCUGCUUCAGAAAUCUGAUCUUUAUAGAAUUCGCUUUAUUUUAGACAAAAUCCAGGGCACAGACCUUCAUAUGGAAAGUGCAAUUUUAUAUGGGAAACUAGAAGAACACGAGAAGGCUUUGCAUAUCCUUGUCCAUGAGUUAAAGGACUUCCAUGCUGCUGAAGAGUACUGCAUGUGGAACUCUGAGAGCAGAGACUUGCAGUACAGGCGGAGGCUGUUCCACCUGCUGCUGUCCGUGUAUUUAACCCCGGGCACCUCGGACUGCACGCUCGUCAUGGCCGCCGUGGAUCUCCUGAAUAACCAUGCUGCGGAAUUCGAUGCAGGUCUGGUUUUGCAGGUGGUGCCUGACAGCUGGUCAGUGCAGCUCCUCUCUCCAUUCCUGGCUGGAGCAGUGAGACAAAGCAUUCACACAAAAAGAAUGACUCAGGUGGCACUUGGGUUAGCACAAGCUGAAAACUUAAUCUACAAGCAUGAGAAGGUUAAACAAAAAGGAGCCCCGAUUCUUCUUUCAGACAAAAAGGUUUGUCAGGUGUGCCAAAAUCCUUUCUGUGAGCCUGUGUUUGUAAGAUACCCCAAUGGGAGCAUGGCCCACACGCACUGUGCUGCAAACAGACAUCUCAAUUCCAAUGUGACUCCUCAUUCUCCCAGCUCCAGCAAUCAGACUUGAAAUAUUCCUACAGUUCCCAUGACUUAUACCCCAUUGAAAGUGGGCUGGAAAGAAAAAAGUGCAGCUACUUUAAGUAUAAAUCAAGGUGGACAGCUAGUUUUUGGGUUAAUGGGAAGACUUCCAGUAAAUAUAAAAUACUGCUACUUAUCUUUUUGAUUUCUAAUGAAUGUAGAUAGAAAAGAAAAUUCACUACCACACAUGGAGAGGUGCAAAUAUGGGCUCUUCUGUGAAUAGGAGUAAACACUUAAAAGAAAAGGAGCCUUUUCUUCACAAUGAGGAUGAAUGUUACUGAGUGAAGGCAAACAGUCAUUUUAAGAAUUGUCACUUUACACAGACUGUGGUGUUGAUAAAUUUGUGGAGGGGAAGAUGGCAUUUGUUGGAGUUGGAAUUCUUGAAGAGUGAUGGGACAAGAUUGGCAUCGUGCAGCUUACUAUGAAGAUGGAGAUGUGCAUCGAUUUUAGUGCUUGCUGCAGCAUGUCUUCUUUUGGGCUGGAUUAUCUUCCACAGGAUCACAUUCUCAACUUCAAUUUUUUUGCUCUACAAAAUGUUGGCUUUUGGUGCACUUUUUAGUACCUCCUUCCCAUCCAUCUUCUAUAUGGAAUUUAAAUGUAAGCACUGUUCUGUUAGGUUUCUGCUCCUGCAGUUACUAUAAUGUACUGAGUGGAAACCAAUAACCUCAAUCACACAGGGAAUGUGGAGUCUAAGACCUGCCCUUGGAGAGUGGAGAUUCUGCCAGAAUAUUUAUCCUUAAUUUAGCUGUUGCUAAAUUAUUUGAAAUUCAUCUCCCUCACUUUUUCCAAUGAGUCUCCUCCAACUUCGUGUCAAAACCGAAACAGUAGUGCAGAUUUUUUUUAAUGUGACAUUGUGUCUGUGAUUCAGGACAUAAUAAAUGAGAUUACUCUCUCACACUGAUGCCUCUGCAGAUAUCAAGACAUGUUGGUCUAACAUGGAACCUCCAGUUACUGAAAUAUUGCAGCUCUGACCUUUUUUUCGGGCAUUCACUGCUGCAGACGAUGGUACAUACAGAAAGCACUUGUUAAACUUUCCUCUACACUUUCAUAUCUCCACACUUCCUCAUGUAAAAAUUACCUAUGAUGUGUGUAUGUCAUCAUAUGCAGUUUUUCUCUCUUUCAGUCAAUAAGAGGAAAAAUCCUAAUCAAAAAAAAUUGCUCAGAAUCUGGCAUUCUGCUCAAAAUUAUAUUCAUGCCUGUAUAUUCAUGAGAGAGUUCAGUUACAUCUUCAUUUUUUUUGUUUUAGUGGAUAAGUUGUCACAUUGAGAUCAGUAUUCUUGUAAUAUUGUCAAAGGCAGGGGAAAAGGAGCCUUUGGGGUUUGUUACACAGGGCACACCAGAGAUACCUAUGAGCUGACUUGUUCAGGCAGCCCAUCCCGAGGUGGCUCAGGUUGCACAGGAGUCCAUGUUGCAGUGAGAAUUUCUCUCUUUGCUCCCCUUGCUCCCAGUCUCCAGAAACUUUCCAGCCUUUGUUACCUGAUUAAUGUCACUCUUGUAGCACUUAACUGACAUGGGUACAAAUCUUGAGAGGUCUGGGGGACUCCUGAGCAGAUCUGUCUUCAGUAAAAUGUCACUUCAUUACUCAGCCACAUGAAGCCCUACUGAUGUGAGCUGUGGAAAGGUGGUGGUAGGGAUUGAGUGUGAGUAUGUUUUCUGAGAACUUUAUUACUUGUUUAAACACACAAGCAUUAUCCUGACUGCUGAGUCUUUAUAACGACAUCAGUUCUUCACAGGACUCCCAUCCUGAAUGACAUUAAAAAUAUUUUGUUUUAUACAGUUCUAUCAAGAAGUAAUUUUUUAUUUUAUAACUCUUCCUGGUUUGCUGCAGUCUCUAUUCAGCAUGGCUCUAAGUGUUUUAUUAACAUCCUGCUGUUCAUAACAGGCAGCAGCUAAUACAUUUUCAUUGUGAGCUCUCUUCCUAUUGCCUGUAUUAGCUAAUUAAUUUUUCUCUUGCUGUACAACACUUUGGGGCUUAUGCCUUGUGAACACUGGUAGUUAAAUGUGCUGCUACUUUGUAAGGAAAAAGAAGAAAAGUUAAUAACAUUCUGUAAUGUAUGAUUGAUUUCUAAAUUGAAGUUCCCCUGCAGUAAAUUUGUUCAGAUGGAAGUUUGUACCAUUAAGGCUUUUGGACUUAGUGGUUAUAUUGGUGAACAUACACAGCAGUAUGUAGAAUGUACAAAUGUAUAAAU